rnacentral:rRNA from 1 species
CCCUUAGAUGUUCUGGGCCGCACGCGCGCUACACUGAUGCAUUCAACGAGUUUCUUCCUGGUCCGAGAGGAACGGGUAACCUUUUGAAAGUGCAUCGUGAUAGGGAUAGACUAUUGCAAUUAUUGGUCUUCAACGAGGAAUUCCUAGUAGACGUAGUUCAUCAGACUGCAUCGAUUACGUCCCUGCCCUUUGUACACACCGCCCGUCGCUCCUACCGAUUGAAUGCUCAGGUGAGCCAUUCGGACUUUCAUCAUGCUGGUUUCCAGUUUUGAUGAAGGAAAGUCUUGCGAACCUUAUCAUUUAGAGGAAGGAGAAGUCGUAACA